rnacentral:rRNA from 1 species
UACAGAGGUCUCGAGCGUUGUUCGGAUUCAUUGGGCGUAAAGGGUGCGUAGGUGGCACUGUAAGUCGGGUGUGAAAUCCUGAGACUUAACCUCGGAACUGCAUUCGAUACUGCGGUGCUUGAGGACUGGAGAGGAGACUGGAAUUCAUGGUGUAGCAGUGAAAUGCGUAGAGAUCAUGAGGAAGACCAGUGGCGAAGGCGGGUCUCUGGACAGUUCCUGACACUGAGGCACGAAGGUCAGGGGAGCAAACAGG